ensembl:lncRNA
CGGAACUUGGAAUGCAAUGUUCAGAUAAACACUGCAGCUCGGGAUAAAGCGGUUAAAGAUGAAUAGACGUUCUCGACUUGCCUUACGUGGAUACCUCCCACCUGAUGGACACAUCCCAUUACAUGGAUACCUCCCACCUGAUGGACAAAGGAUGUUAAGAAUGAGAAACCAGCCAAUGGGUGAUGCUUCUAGUGUCUUCGAAGUUGAAGAGAUCAGAGAUAUUAGUGACAACAGCCGCAGCAGCAGCACCGAGUCUCUGAAUGCGGACAAAUCCUAUGCCAUCGAGACGAUGCUUUCUUGCCUGGGCAGUGUGUGUCACAACAUGAAGGCUGGAAUUUUUAGGCUUUAUUUUCUUCUUCUCAGGAG